rnacentral:rRNA from 1 species
GACGAACGCUGGCGGCGUGCUUAACACAUGCAAGUCGAACGGAAAGGCCUGCAGCUUGCUGCGGGUACUCGAGUGGCGAACGGGUGAGUAACACGUGGGUGAUCUGCCUUGCACUUCGGGAUAAGCUUGGGAAACUGGGUCUAAUACCGGAUAGGACAGCUGUUUAGUGUCAGUUGUGGAAAGUUUUUUCGGUGCAAGAUGAGCUCGCGGCCUAUCAGCUUGUUGGUGGGUAAUGGCCUACCAAGGCGUCGACGGGUAGCCGGCCUGAGAGGGUGUACGGCCACAUUGGGACUGAGAUACGGCCCAGACUCCUACGGGAGGCAGCAGUGGGGAAUAUUGCACAAUGGGCGGAAGCCUGAUGCAGCGACGCCGCGUGGGGGAUGAAGGCCUUCGGGUUGUAAACUCCUUUCGACAGGGACGAAGCUUUUGUGACGGUACCUGUAUAAGAAGCACCGGCUAACUACGUG